rnacentral:rRNA from 1 species
GAGUGAGAAUCUCUUUCACCGAAUGCCUAAGGUUUCCUGAGGAAGGCUCGUCCUCUCAGGGUUAGUCGGGACCUAAGCCGAGGCCGAAAGGCGUAGGCGAUGGACAACAGGCAGAUAUUCCUGUACCACCUCAUGACCGUUUGAGCGAUGGGGGGACGCAGUAGGAUAAGGAAUGCGCACGGAUGGAUGUGUGCGCCCAAGCAGUGAGAAAGUCAGGUAGGCAAAUCCGCCUGGCCAUUUCAAGCUGUGAUGGGGAGGCCUUCUGGCCGAAGUUCCUGAUUUCACACUGCCGAGAAAAGCCUCUAGCAAGGUCACAGGUGCCCGUACCGCAAACCGACACAGGUAGGCGAGGAGAGAAUCCUAAGGUGAGCGGGAGAACUCUCGUUAAGGAACUCGGCAAAAUGACCCCGUAACUUAGGGAGAAGGGGUGCUCUACGGA